UGGUGGAGUGAUUUGUCUGGCUAAUUCCGUUAACGAACGAGACCUUAGCCUGCUAAAUAGUUACGUGUAACUUCGGUUAUGCGGGCAACUUCUUAGAGGGACUUUGUGUGUCUAACGCAAGGAAGUUUGAGGCAAUAACA
rnacentral:rRNA from 1 species